UUUCCUCUUUCGGCCUUUUGGCUAAGAUCAAGUGUAGUAUCUGUUCUUAUCAGUUUAAUACCAUGUGUGCUUUUAACUGACACCAAAUUGACUCUUU
ensembl:snRNA U2 U2 spliceosomal RNA